rnacentral:rRNA from 1 species
GACGAACGCUGGCGGCGUGCUUAACACAUGCAAGUCGAGCGGAAAGGCCACUUCGGUGGUACUCGAGCGGCGAACAGGUGAGUAACACGUGAGUAAUCUGCCCCUCACUUUGGGAUAGCCACCGGAAACGGUGAUUAAUACCGGAUAUGACCAUAUGUCGCAUGGCGUGUGGUGGAAAGUUUUUCGGUGAGGGAUGUGCUCGCGGCCUAUCAGCUUGAUGGUGAGGUAAUGGCUCACCAUGGCUUCGACGGGUAGCCGGCCUGAGAGGGUGACCGGUCACACUGGGACUGAGACACGGCCCAGACUCCUACGGGAGGCAGCAGUGGGGAAUAUUGGACAAUGGGCGGAAGCCUGAUCCAGCAACGCCGCGUGAGGGAUGACGGCCUUCGGGUUGUAAACCUCUUUCAGUACCGACGAAGCGCAAGUGACGGUAGGUACAGAAGAAGCACCGGCCAACUACGUG